GUCUACGGCCAUACCACUCUGAACCCGCCUGAUCUCGUCUGAUCUUGGAAGCUAAGCAGGGUUGGGCCUCGUUAGUACAUGGAUGGGAGGAAAAUAAAUAAGAAAUGGUAUUUA
rnacentral:rRNA from 1 species